CGUUAGCGGCGGAUGGGUGAGUAACACGUGGGUAACCUACCUAUAAGACUGGGAUAACUUCGGGAAACCGGAGCUAAUACCGGAUAAUAUUUCAACCGCAUGGUUCGAUAGUGAAAGAUGGUUUUGCUAUCACUUAUAGAUGGACCUGCGCCGUAUUAGCUAGUUGGUAAGGUAACGGCUUACCAAGGCUACGAUACGUAGCCGACCUGAGAGGGUGAUCGGCCACACUGGAACUGAGACACGGUCCAGACUCCUACGGGAGGCAGCAGCC
rnacentral:rRNA from 1 species